ACUUUUUUUAACCUAUAAACCUUUUAUUUAAGAUAAACAAACUUCAUACACUUCAUAUAUAUGAAUUUUGGAACAUGGUGAUUCCACCCGCCCUCCCACCUACACUCCCACCCUUCUUCCUCCUCCCUCUUCUAUUCCAAUUAUUUUCUACAAAGAUCUAUUUUCAGUUAACUUUAUACUCAUAAGAUUAGCCCUACACUAAGUAAAGAGUUCAACAAAUGGUAUGAAACAAACAAAAAUGACUGUUCCUCAAAAAACUGAGACAAGGGCUGUUCAAAAUUAUUGAGUCUCAAAGUGCCAAUUUCACUUCUAUGGAUUACCUUUUAGGUCUUCUAUUAGUUACCACAGAUCAGGGAGAACAUAAGGUAUUUGUCUUUUUUGGACUGGCUUAUUUCACUAAGUAUAAUGGUUUCCAGUUGCAUCCAUUUUGUUGCAAAUGACAGGAUUUCCUUUUUUAACUGCUGUGUAAUAUUCCAUAGUGUACAUAAACCGUAACUUCUUUAACCAGUCUUCAGUUGAUGGACAUCUGUGUUGUUUCUAUAUCUUAACUAUUGUGAAUAGAGCUGCAAUGAAUGUGGGGAUACAGAAAACUCUUUCAUAUGCUGAUUUCAUUUCCUUUGAGGUAAAUUCCCAGGAGUGAGGUGGCUGGGUCAUAUGGUAGGUCUGUAUUUCUGAGGUGUCUCCAUACUGUCUCCCACAGUGGCUGUACCAGUUUACCUUCCCACCAACAGUGGACUCUUGAUGUCUGUAGGAAAGCCAUUCUAACAGGGGUGAGGUGAAACCUCAUUGAGGUUUUGAUUUACAUUUCCUCAAUGGCUAGUGGUCCUGAGAAUUUCUUUCAUUUGAAUUUCUUCUUUUGAAAAAUGCCUGUUCAAGUUUUUUGUCCAUUUCUUAACUGGAUUGUUUGUUUUGUUGUUGUUAAGUUUCAUGAACUCUUUAUAGAUUCUGGAUAUUAAUCCUUUAUCAGUUGCAUAGUUUGCAAAAGGGCACUUCUCUCUACACUUGGGAUUAUAGAUUCCAUCUGUGCCAGGUGAGGGCCCCAACCACUGCCCAGCAGCGAGCUCUGCCCUGUGAUCCUAGACAAUGGGCUCCCAUGGGGCAGUGGCCAGUGCCCUGCAGUGCUGGGGAAAGCUGGGUAGCUGGUAAGCCUCAGUGAGAUAUUGUUGGCCAAGUAUGUCAUAGAAGAGACUAUCCAACAAUUUUACCACUUCUUCUUGCUUUGGAGAUACUUUGAAAAAUAAAAAGAUUCAAAUUCCUGCAGAACAAUACCAUAUAUCAAAUCAUUCUAGAUAAGCCAGAGCUACCUCUUUUUAUAGAAAACCAAAGAGAUUGCUCAGUUUAAGCCAUUAGCAUCAUUAUUAACAUUAAAUUUUUUCUUUGUGUUAUUAUCAUCAUCAAACCCAUCUGCCAGUACAGUGCUAGAACACAGUCAGCUCCCUAGGCAGCAGAGAUGUAACAGAUCUGUAGCCACUGGCCUACUCUAGUUGCCUUUGAGGGGAAAACUCCAGUGGUGUGGAGAGGAGAGGAACAGCAAUGGUGGAGCCAGCACUUUGCUGAAGUUUGAGUGCUCCCCCAGUGCAUCAGAGCAGACUGGCAACACCAAAUUCAGAGUCACAUUGCAGAAUAGUCGUGAAGACAAGGAAGCAAGCAGCAGAGACGUCCUUGUACCUUGAGCAGCUGUGAAUCUAUGGUGGGAAAUGGAAUUUUAUGAUGUGAGCGUAUCCUAGCAGUCAUCCUGCUCCCUGGGCUCACAUCUCUAUAUGCCUGCAUUCUUCUGUAGGAGUACAUGUGAGGGAUGAUAGAAUAUUGAAACAAGGGAGCACCACAAAGAAGGGAAAACUGGACAGACUCUAGAUACUUCUGGAGGAAGAAAUGUCAUGACUUGUGGAUGUGGGAGAAUGGGAGGAAAUACAAAGGUAAAUGUGGUGACUGACAGAGUUCAGGCUUCGGCGCUGAGAGGAUGUUUUUACUAAACUGAGGUCAAGAUUAGGUGGCUAAGAAGGCUGAAGACAGGGAAGGAAAAUCAACUCCAUUUUUAAAAUAUUAAUAUUGAGAUGCCUAUUAGAAAACUAAGUAGGAAUCUAGAGAAGGAAUCUGGGUAUCUGAGACUGACACCGGGAAGAGGCUGGGGUGCAGAUAUAAAUACUGGAGUCAUCCCUAAAUAAGGGGUGCAGUAAACCAAGGAGCUGGAUAAGAUCAGAUUAGAAAGUGAUAUUUUUUGUUGGCCAUAGAAAACUUUACACAAAGGCGAUGUUAUUAUCUUGUCCAUUCCUAGCUGAAUACGUCAUUGGUGAAAGAAAACAAUUUCUAAAGUGGGGUUGGUCCUAUGGAAUUAGCCCUAAAAUGACUUGCGGGAGAAAUAAGAGGAAAGAAGUAGACUGGUCCUACACCCCACUCCCACGAACCUGUGGGGACUGUGGGGCUCACUCAUACCCUAGCACCAGCUCAGAGAGUGUCAUCCCUCAGGCAUUCUUCCAAUGAAAUUAAUCAUGUUAAUAUCUAUAAAUAAAGUGCAACCAACAGUUACUUUAACAGUGCAUGUUAAUUAUUGGUAGGAUCCGUGACUGAAGAAGGGUUUUGCCAGUUUUGUCAUGUCUGGGGAAAGUAUCAAGAAUACACAUGGAGUUUUGAGAAAAUAGGAUGAUCAGAUCAUGAACAGCUUCCAGGUGAACCAGGUUUGGACCAUCCGUGUGAUUAUUACAGGACAAUGUGGAUCUUGGAGAGUUGAUGUUCUCCCUCUGCUAUCUUCCCACGGCCGGCAGGCUGACCACCACCAUUAUAAAAGCACGGAAUUUAAAGGCAAUGGACAUAACAGGAGCAUCAGAUCCCUACGUGAAGGUCUCACUGAUGUGUGACGGCAGACGGUUGAAGAAGAGGAAAACAUCGACGAAAAGGAACACACUGAAUCCAGUUUACAACGAAGCCAUAGUCUUUGAUGUCCCUCCUGAAAACAUUGACCAAAUCCACUUGUCCAUAGCGGUCAUGGACUACGAC